GACAAACGCUGGCGGCGUGCUUAACACAUGCAAGUCGAACGGUCUUCCUUCGGGGGAGAUAGUGGCGGACGGGUGAGUAACACGUAGAUAACCUGCCCUUAUGUGGGGAAUAACCCCUCGAAAGAGGAGCUAAUACCGCAUGAGUUCUCUGUUGUUAGACAGAGAAGAAACCUCGGUUUAUACCUGGGGCAUGAGGAGGGGUCUGCGGCGGAUUAGCUAGUUGGUGGAGGUAAUGGCNCCCCAAGGCAACGAUCCGUAGCUGGUCUGAGAGGACGGCCAGCCACACUGGGACUGAGGCACGGCCCAGACUCCUACGGGAGGGCAGCAGUGAGGAAUAUUCCACAAUGGGCGAAAGCCUGAUGGAGCGACGCCGCGUGAGGGAUGAAG
rnacentral:rRNA from 1 species